rnacentral:rRNA from 1 species
AACAAACGCUGGCGGCGUGCCUAAUACAUGCAAGUCGAACGGGGAAAGCUUUCGGGUGAGUACUAAUGGCGCACGGGUGAGUAACGCGUGGAUAAUCUGCCUUAGAGUGGGGGAUAACUAGUCGAAAGAUUAGCUAAAACCGCAUAAGACCACAAGAACUGCGGUUCAAGAGGUCAAAGGUUUUUCGCUCUAAGAUGAGUCCGCGUAAGAUUAGCUAGUUGGUGAGGUAACGGCUCACCAAGGCAACGAUCUUUAACUGGUCUGAGAGGAUGAUCAGUCACACUGGAACUGAGACACGGUCCAGACACCUACGGGAGGCAGCAGUAGGGAAUAUUGCACAAUGGAGGAAACUCUGAUGCAGCGACGCCGCGUGAGUGAUGAAGGCCUUCGGGUCGUAAAGCUCUGUCGCAGGGGAAUAACACAAUGAAUGUACCCUGUAAGAAAGGAUCGGCUAACUUCGUGCCAGCCGCCGCAGUAAUAC